UACGUAGGGCGCAAGCGUUGUCCGGAAUUAUUGGGCGUAAAGAGCUCGUAGGUGGCUUGUCACGUCGGGUGUGAAAGCUUGGGGCUUAACUCCAGGUCUGCAUUCGAUACGGGCUGGCUAGAGGUAGGUAGGGGAGAACGGAAUUCCUGGUGUAGCGGUGAAAUGCGCAGAUAUCAGGAGGAACACCGGUGGCGAAGGCGGGUCUCUGGGCAGUAACUGACGCUGAGGAGCGAAAGCGUGGGAGCGAAC
rnacentral:rRNA from 1 species